UACGUAGGGUGCAGGCGUUAAUCGGAAUUACUGGGCGUAAAGCGUGCGCAGGCGGUGAUGUAAGACAGGUGUGAAAUCCCCGGGCUUAACCUGGGAACUGCAUUUGUGACUGCAUCGCUGGAGUGCGGCAGAGGGGGAUGGAAUUCCGCGUGUAGCAGUGAAAUGCGUAGAUAUGCGGAGGAACACCGAUGGCGAAGGCAAUCCCCUGGGCCUGCACUGACGCUCAUGCACGAAGCGUGGG
rnacentral:rRNA from 1 species